ACGCAAGAUCACAAAAGUGUGUGCACCAGCACCUCCGGCACUGCGGGUGUUGUCUGUGCCGUCUGUGCUCCUCCCUUCCGAUAGUUUUCUCAUCACCACUGUCACCACGGACCUCUAUCAUCAUAUUCGUUUCUGUCGGCGCUGUGUGGCGAGUGUCACCGACCCUCUUGUUGUUGCCCUGUGCACAACCGUGUUGUGAGUACGUUUCAGAUUCAUAGAGGUGAAUGGAAAGAAAGAGGUGCCUCCCCUCCCCCUCGCCUUCGCUGCCGCGGCAACUAUACCAUCUGUGCUGUGCAGCGUUGCAAGCCCACGCCUACACCCGGGCACGCAUACACUCGGAAAGGAAAGACGGGAGCAUCGACGACGUUUUUAUUUUUUGUCUUCGUUAGCGCUGCAUCUACAAUGGCCUCUCAACCCGGCGAUGCGCUGGGUAAGAUUGAUUACUGGGUGCAGUACAUCGACUGUGCCUUGAAGCACCCACGGCCGCUGCCAGCCGGCAAGCACGCGCAUCGACAGUCCCUAGAGACCAUCCCCGAGGUGGCUGAGCUGUAUCACUGUAUCUACAAGCUCUACAAUGAGGAAGAGAGCUCUGUGUGGUUUCGCGAGCCCGUCAACGCGCUGGCGCAGGAAAUUUUCACGUACUACGACGUGGUCAAGUCACCCAUGAGCCUGCGACACAUUCUCGACAACAUUGUAAAGGGCGACACCUAUUCCACCGCCCUACAGGUGAUGGAAGACGUGGAGCUCAUCUGGAAAAACUGCAUUACCUUCAACGGUGCCAACUCGCUCUUGGCCACCGAGGCGGGCAAGUGCCGAUCCGCGCUAGACCGAAUCCGUCGCGCCUACCAGGACGAUCAGCGCAUCACCGUCGAGGAGGCUGAGCGGCUCUUCCGGGUCAUUUCGUCGAUGCAGGAGCAGCAGCUCAUCGACAACAUUGCCGAGUACCUCCGCCGCGACGACCCCACGUCGAUUGACGAGACGGGUGCUGUGAACUUUGACAUGCUCAAGCGGAAGCACUUCCGCAACCUGGAGCGUAUCGUAGACAACUACUCCAAGUCUCGCACGCGGAGCUAGUCUGCCUCUACCCCGCAUGCAGCGUAAUCGCCCUGGCCAUUUAAGCAUGAGAGAAAGAACGAUGGCACAUCUGCAUCUGAUGCGAAAAACUCGUCUGGUCUCUCCUCUCGGCGCUUGUGAGAUUCGGCUCUUAAGCAUGGGCUCUGGUCACUGCCGUUGUCGUCACCGGCACUAUCCUCCGUCCCAUAUUUCCUUCCUGUGCGACGUCAGCACCUAUGCAGAGCCAUGGCCGCACGUGACCAGAGAGGAAACGGCGGUGCAAGUCGUGAGCAGGCACAAGGAGCGUCCGAGCUGUUCCUUCUCGUGCGUGUGUCGCACGCUGACAGCACAGCACCCCUCGUGCGUCCUGUGGCGGAGUUGGGAGAGAGGAGGGGGCAAGCACGCAAGCGUUGAGGCCGCCUUCCUCAGCGUAUGUCACAUCAGUCGAUGCGGUGUGCGCUUCAUGACUCUCUCCUUUCCAUCUCUCCCUCCUCUCCUUCGUACUGCCGCGAACUGCUAUCAUUGCGCCCACAUAG
rnacentral:misc_RNA from 1 species